CUGUAUAAAUGGAUAUGGACCACACAUAUGCCUGGUCCUCACUGUAGUCCAAAGAGAAUCUUAGAACCCACAAGCUUGGAACAAUGAACAGUUUUGUGAUUCCACAAUGUAAAUUCUGGCAAAUGAUCCCCUCUAUAUACAAGACCAGUAAGAGUUCUUAACUUCUCAACCAUCUCUUCUUCCCUGUGUUGAUUAUUUAUGACCAACAAUGAUAUUUCAAAUGUAAUCAUCUUUCUAUUCGUAACUGUUUAAAUGCACAGCCAUUUUAGUAAGAUUUAUUAAAGUACAACUUAAACUUGAGCAAUUCAAAUUUUUAGAAGUUGAAUACAGAACUAGAGUGAAUGCCUUACUCUUUUUAGGAACUCCGGUAAAACAAUCUCUGAGUUUAUCUUAUCUUUUUGUUUGUUUGAUACAAGUUUAAAGUGCAGAUGGGUUCUUAAUGUUUACUUUUUGCUGUCCUAUAACUGAUUACAUAGACUAGGCUAACUUUCAACUCAGAAGCACAUAUAUCUGCUUCUACCUUCUAAGUUCUGGAAUUAAAGGCAUGAGCCAUUACACCCAGCUUACAAAUUUUUGUUAUUGUUAGUAACGGUUCAUGAAAUUUCUCUGAUGUUUACUUAGUACUGUUGAAGUGUUUUCUUGUCUCUCUAACUCUGUUAAUAGGCAUUUCUCUUGCAAGAUGAUAUCCAAUUCCAAGCAUUCAUGAAUAAUUGUUGUAAACCUCCUAUUGAGUUUGUUUGUGAAGUAACUUGAUGAUUUCAUUGUAAUGUCUGAGUAAGAAAAUACAUGUGGCAGUCACCAGAAUUAUGUGGCUAUAUUGUCAAAGAAGCACACAUUACAAUGUUGUAUCAUGCUUUCUGUUUUAUACAUCUGGAUGGCACAUUUAUGUAUGGCAUAUUUUAGAAUGCAGUGACCUAUAAUGAUGUGUAUGUCGACAUCACUCAGGAAGAGUGCAUAUUGAUGGAUCCUUCACAGAAGAAUCUCUACAAAGAUGUGAUGCUGGAGACCUAUAUGAACCUCAUUGCUAUAGGCUACAAUUGGGAAGAUCUUAAAGUUGAAGAAUAUUGUCAAAGUUGUCAAAAACAUGGAAGUUAUAUCAUAUGUCCCUCUGGAUACAAGCUCUAUGAACAUAAGAAUAUGGAAAGAAGCAAUGUACAUCUCUCCAUAUGAGAACAAUUAGAAGAUACAUAGUAGUUCCAUGUUAAGUAAACUUGUUG